UACGUAGGGUGCGAGCGUUAAUCGGAAUUACUGGGCGUAAAGCGUGCGCAGGCGGUUUUGUAAGCCAGAUGUGAAAUCCCCGGGCUUAACCUGGGAAUGGCAUUUGGGACUGCAAGGCUCGAGUGCGGCAGAGGAGACUGGAAUUCCUGGUGUAGCAGUGAAAUGCGUAGAUAUCAGGAGGAACACCGAUGGCGAAGGCGGCAUCCUGGCCUGUUUCUUGACGCUGAGGCGCGAAAGCUAGGGGAGCAAACGGG
rnacentral:rRNA from 1 species